CUUGGUCAUUUAGAGGAAGUAAAGUCGUAACAAGGUUUCCGUAGGUGAACCUGCGGAAGGAUCAUUAUCGAAAUUAUUGGUGAGGGUUGUAGCUGGCCUUUCGAGGCAUGUGCACGCUCGAGCCCUUAAUCCACUUUACACCUGUGCACUUAAUGUAGGUCGCCCUUAAAAAAGGUGACCUAUGUCUUAUCAUCAACCCAUCGUAUGUCUCAUAGAAUGUAAUCGAUAUCCUCGCCCUAAAAAAGCGUUGAUAAACUUAUACAACUUUCAACAACGGAUCUCUUGGCUCUCGCAUCGAUGAAGAACGCAGCGAAAUGCGAUAAGUAAUGUGAAUUGCAGAUUUUCAGUGAAUCAUCGAAUCUUUGAACGCACCUUGCGCUCCUUGGUAUUCCGAGGAGCAUGCCUGUUUGAGUGUCAUUAAAUUCUCAACUCCAAGGGUUUCACGACCUUUCGGAGAUUGGACUUGGAGGUGCUGGCCGCAUAUUGGUCGGCUCCUCUCAAAUGCAUCAGCGGAAUUCAACCUUUGGCUUCCGGAUGUCAGUGUGAUAAUCAUGUUGCGCUGUCGUUUGAUCCCUCAGAGUCCGCUUAUAAUGGUCUUCGGACAAAAUCAUCAUCAAAUUUGACCUCAAAUCAGGUAGGACUACCCGCUGAACUUAAGCAUAUCAAUAAGCGGAGGA
rnacentral:rRNA from 1 species